GUAGGUGGCAAGCGUUGUCCGGAAUUAUUGGGCGUAAAGCGCGCGCAGGCGGUCCUUUAAGUCUGAUGUGAAAGCCCACGGCUCAACCGUGGAGGGUCAUUGGAAACUGGGGGACUUGAGUACAGAAGAGGAAAGCGGAAUUCCAAGUGUAGCGGUGAAAUGCGUAGAGAUUUGGAGGAACACCAGUGGCGAAGGCGGCUUUCUGGUCUGUAACUGACGCUGAGGCGCGAAAGCGUGGGGAGCAAACAGGAUUAGGGUACCCUGGUAGUCCACGCCGUAAACGAUGAGUGCUAAGUGUUAGGGGGUUUCCCGCCCCCCUUAGUGCUGCAGCUAACGCAUUAAGCACUCCGCCUGGGGGAGUACGGCCGCAAGGCUG
rnacentral:rRNA from 1 species